UACGGAGGAUGCGAGCGUUAUCCGGAUUUAUUGGGUUUAAAGGGUGCGUAGGCGGAGUGCCAAGUCAGCGGUAAAAAUUCGGGGCUCAACCCCGUCGUGCCGUUGAAACUGGCGCCCUUGAGUGGGCGAGAAGUAUGCGGAAUGCGUGGUGUAGCGGCGAAAUGCAUAGAUAUCACGCAGAACCCCGAUUGCGAAGGCAGCAUACCGGCGCCCGACUGACGCUGAAGCACGAAAGCGUGGGUAUCGAACAGG
rnacentral:rRNA from 1 species